GUCUCGAUUUGUUCAACUUACCAUUUGUAGAUAACAUCACUUGGUAUAUCAAAAGCUUUCUAUCUAUUUACAAGUUUAUUUUAAUAAUGAAACACAGGCAGAAUAUUUCGCGAAUAAAACACAUAUACUGUAAACACUCACGAAUA